GACAUUGAUGAUGGUAGCGAAAGAUUAUACUGCGACGACACGAAGACGGAGGAAUCAACGUCCAGUGAUACGGUAGAGAGAUUGACCUAAAUGUAAAAGUCCACAAACCCUGACACUUUUUGUCGGAUAUAAUAGGAAGCCAUAGACACUUAUAAGGGCUCAGCUUCCAAGAACACUAUAACCAACAAAAAGUGUCGGCUUCUAGACUUCUACAUCUAAGCCAAAACCUCCACCAUAUCAUUCGGCGUUGAUUCCUCCGCCGCCGCCGCCAUCAUCGAUGUCCCAUUUCAGGCAGAAUCAGGGUUAUCGGGUGAAAGAAGGAUCGUCAUUUUCAUAUCAGUACGUUCCUCUUCCUCCCCUGCCGAGAAAUCCAUAUUCAUCGCCGCCUCCGCCUCCGCCGGAUUCUUUGUAUCCACAUCCGCCUCCUCCUCCACCUUCUCCGACACCGUGCCCACCUCCACCCUCUCCCCCUUCGUCUUUUCCCCCACCGUUCUCUCUGCUGAGAAAUCGGUAUCCACCUCCGUUCCCUUCUCCUUCGUGUCCUCCUCCACCUUCUCAGCCACGGUUCCGUCUGCUUCCUCCUUCGUGUCCUCCCCCACCUUCUCAGACUGUUCGAUUUAAUCAGCCAGCUCCAUUGCCAGUGAAAAUUUCCAAUGAAACUGAGGAAGAGAGGAGGUUGAGGAAGAAGAGGGAAUUAGAAAAAGUAAGACGUAAACAGCGAUUAAGGGAAGCACAGAAUAGGAUUGUGGAGAAAACCAAAAAAAUAUUUUCUGGUAGGAAGGGUCAUGCGUCAAUUAGAUCCGACAGAAGCAUUGCCCCUUUGGUAAGGGGUGACAUGACAGACAACCGGUUGAAGAAGCAGCAGCUGAAGUAUAAAGACCAGGUUGUGAUUGCGAAUUUUGAUGGUGCUCCAACUGCUGGUUCAGAAACCUACAACAAGUUGGAUAAAACUGUUCGUGAUGCAUAUGAAUCACAGGUACGAGGUGAUGAUGCAGAUGAUCCUACUAUUGCGGCAUUUGGUGGAACAGUGGCCCAUUACACGCAUGUUCCAGCUAAGCUUGUUUUGCAAAAAAAGAUAGCUGGAGAGGAAAAAUCAAAUAAUGAAGUCGAACAUUUCCCAGAUGCUUCGAGAGUUACAGUAAAGAAGAGACCAACAGUAACUGCCAUUGAAAAAGAAGGGGGGGUUAUACAACAGCUUUGAAGGGGAAGUGGUUGAAGUCAGAGGAGAACAAAAUCAGUCAUGAAAAUGUUGUUGGCAAACAACCGAACAGUAUGCAUGAUUGAUUCCUUCACAGUUAUUUAUGCUGAUCAGCUAAUUUUCAGCAAGAAAAUAGAAAAAGAGAAAGGCUUAAACUUUUAGAUGAGAUGAUUACACAUUUAAACAUGGUAUCAGAGCAGACAGAGGUUUCAGGAUCGAAUCUCACCUCCUCCCAAACUAAAAAGAAUUUCCAUGUGCUUGGUCCAUGAAAAAAGAUCAGGUAAGAAGUCCACCCAUCUCAUAAACCACCAAUGUGGGACCUUCGUCAUUCUUUAACACUCCACCUCACGCCCCAUGUUUAACAUGAUCCUGGUCUGAUAUCAUCUUUCACCCCAAAAGCUAGCUCAAAGGGAGAAGGAUUGUCAAGCCUUUUAAGGAGGUCACUCAUCUUGUUAACCACCAAUGUGGAACUUUUGUCGUUCUUUAACACUUUUGGUUCAGUUAUCAUAUUAUCCGAUGUUGCUACUGUUCUCUUCUCCUUUAUUUUUAACAUGACUUAUUUACUAAUGUGUUUCUUUUCCAUACUUGUUUAUGAUAUUCUUUACUUGAAUUGAUGGUCUAUUGGAAAUAGCCUCUCUACCUUUGCAAGGUAGGACAAGGUUGCGUACACACCACCCUCCCCAGGCCCCACUUGUGGGAUUGCGUUGAGUAUGUUGUUGUUGUUUGUCCGUAUAUUAACUAACAGCUUUGCUGAUUUAGCGAAAUAAAGUUUUGUUUUCACAUUGUUUAAGACUUUAGGUGUAUUUGUUCAAUGUAGAAAGCUCCAAAGUGGUACUUGGAAUUUCUCAACGUCUUCCUCCUUUAAGCCCUUUUUGCAGUGUCAUAGCGGGAUUUGAUUGUUAUUUUUUGUUAUCCUCCAUUCUGUCUUUGUAGAUAUCUGUUAUGUCCCUUACAAUCACUUAUUGAUAAUGCAUGGGAUAGCAGUGAGAUGGUUAUGCAGAUUGGAGCGCCUCUAGAAGAGAGACACAAGACCAUUGGAUGAUGGCUUUUAAGGUUGAUUGUCAAGUCUCCUACAGAGUUGCUUCAACUUUUUAAGAGGCCCCAGUGAAUGCUGUGAAGGUACAAAUCUAUCGCCGUUUAACUAAAGCAGUCGUACAAGCUAUGCAACCUUCAAUAAGGUACUAUCCCU